GCCUCUUGCUCCAAAUAUAAGAGGUCCAGCCUGCCCAGUGACAUAGUUUAACGGCCGCGGUACCCUAACCGUGCGAAGGUAGCAUAAUCACUUGUUCUUUAAAUAAGGACUCGUAUCAACGGCAUCACGAGGGCUGUACUGUCUCCUUUCUCCAAUCAGUGAAACUGAUCUCCCCGUGAAGAAGCGGGGAUUGACCUAUAAGACGAGAAGACCCCAUGGAGCUUUAAACCCAACACACACCUCUACUCACUCAAAUCAACAUAACCCAAGAGACUUAUGUGUUGGUUUUAGGUUGGGGGGACCGCGGAGUAAAAUCAAACCUCCAUGACAGACGGACUAACACCCUUAUCCAUGAACCACAAUUCUAAGAGCCAAUAAAUUGUUGUCUAAUGACCCAAUUACUUGAUCAACGAACCAAGUUACCCUGGGGAUAACAGCGCAAUCUACUUCAAGAGCCCCUAUCGACAAGUAGGUUUACGACCUCGAUGUUGGAUCAGGGUAUCCUAGUGGUGCAGCCGCUACUAAAGGUUCGUUUGUUCAACGAUUAAAACCCUACGUGAUCUGAGUUCAGACCGGA
rnacentral:rRNA from 1 species